rnacentral:lncRNA from 10 species
GUAAGAUCUGUGCCUUCCGAAGAGGGUAGAGUCUUCUGGAGGGACAUUACAAAUAAUCAGGCACUCCCAGUGCUGGGAGCUAAGUUCUGUUACAGGGAAGAGAAAGAAACAAUGGGAAUACCAAGGAGGAUAUUUACAGAGGGGGAAGGCUUUGAGCUGAAAUUGAACGGUGAAUAAAGGCUGAGCAGCCAUGAUCCCAGGGAGAAGCAGAUUCUUGGGCAUGUGUGUUAAGAGAUAAAAUGGCAAAGUAUGACUUUCCGGGGUACACGCCACAGGAAAAAGGAAAAAGUCUCAGGUGGGCAUGCGUGUAACUCCCUAAACGCACUGCGCGUGCUCAAUUCCAAAGGCUAAGGAAAGCAUUGCGCAUGCGGGAAACCCACGCUGAGGGAAGAAUCAUGGGAAAGAGUAGAGACGGGGUUCCACCGUGUUAGCCAGGAUGGUCUCGAUUUCCUGACCUCGUCAUCCUCCCGCCUUGGCCUCCCAAAGUGCUGGGAUUACAGGCUUGAGCCACCGCGCCCCGCUCUUUCGUGUUCCAAAGGCUUUUUAAAUAAACUUCCACUCCUGUCCUGGAUUCUGCUUUAUGGCCCUCAGUCGAAUUCUUUCUUCUGAGGAGGCAAGGACUGAAGUUGCUUCUGACCAGUACAGGAGAAAACGAAUACAGCAGGGAUGACUUCCACCAGCUCCACUUUGCAGCUCUGAGGUGUAUUAAAAAUAAACCUAGAGCCCCACCAAAUGAAUCCGCUGGCACGUGGACCUCAGAUGGGGGAAACUGAGGACUGAAUUCUGACCACCCUCCUUUGUUCUAAAUUUCUUCCUGAAGGACCUGGAAGAAGUCAUGCCACGGGCCAGACCUUAACAUUCCUUUCGGCUUACCCCAGGAUUUCAGACAAAGCUUCACUUUCCUAACCAGUCACAAAUCAGAGAAUUUUUGAUUCCACCUAUGACCUGUGAGCUCCUGCUUCAAGAUAUUCCACCUUUUUUAGGCCAAACCAAUGUAUAACCUCCAAGUGUCGAUUUACACUUUCGACUGUAACUUCUGCUUUCCUGAGAUUUACCCCUGCCUUUAAAAACCCUUGCUUGUAAUCCCUCAGGGAGGCCGUGUAUUUAUUAAUCAUGAGCUGCCCAAUUCUCCUUGCUUGGUGCCCUGCAAAUAAACACCCUCUUUUCUCCCACUGCAAAACCUCAGUGUGGAUGUUUGGCUUUACUUCACCCCCAGGAAAGCAGACCCAGGUUUGACUCAGCAACAACAUCUGUUUCUAUUUUUCUCUGUAUAAAUAUUAAAAACCAUAAGUACAUGCUAUCUCCAAUUCCAAUAUAAACCCAUA